AUUUCUGUUAAACGAAAACUUGUGAUGAACGGACAUUUCCUUUGUAUUUAGUUUUGCAACACCGCCCCCUCCUCCAAAGUCGUCCUCAAAUUACUUUUACUUCUAACUACAGAGAAAAGAUUAAAAAAUUCGUAAAUUACAACCAGAUGUGUACCCGACCUCAUAAUUAGGGGGAUAGUACGACCCACCAAAUUAUUUUCAAAAUACAAAAUUGUUAAAAAAAAAUGCAAUAAAAAACCUUAAAUUGAUGU